rnacentral:rRNA from 1 species
UCUGGUUGAUCCUGCCAGUAGUUAUAUGCUUGUCUCAAAGAUUAAGCCAUGAAACCGCAAAAGGCUCAUUAUAUCAGCUAUGGUUCCUUAGAUCGUUAACAGUUACUUGGGUAACUGUGGUAAUUCUAGAGCUAAUACAUGCAAUUAAAACAUGAACCUUAUGGGACAUGUGCUUUUAUUAGGCUAAAACCAAGCGAUCGCAAGAUCGUUAUAUUGGUUGAACUCUAGAUAACAUGCAGAUCGUAUGGUCUUGUACCGACGACAGAUCUUUCAAAUGUCUGCCCUAUCUACUUUUGAUAGUAGUAUCUAGGACUACCAUGGUUGCAACGGGUAACGGAGAAUCAGGGUUCGUUUCCGGAGAGGGAGCCUGAGAAACGGCUACCACAUCCAAGGAAGGCAGCAGGCGCGUAAAUUACCCACUCCCAGCUCGGGGAGGUAGUGACAAAAAAUAACAAAACAGGACUCAUAUCCGAGGCCCUGUAAUUGGAAUGAGUACAUUUUAAAUCCUUUAACAAGGACCAAUUGGAGGGCAAGUCUGGUGCCAGCAGCCGCGGUAAUUCCAGCUCCAAUAGCGUAUAUUAAAGUUUUUGCGGUUAAAACGUUCGUAGUUGAACUUGUGCUUCAUACGGGUAGUACAACUUACAAUUGUGGUUAGUACCUUUAUGUAUGUAAGCGUAUUACCGGUGGAGUUCUUUUAUGUGAUUAAAUACAUGUAUUUUUUCAUAUGUUCCUCCUAUUUAAAAACCUGCAUUAGUGAUCUUAAACGAGUAUUAUUGUGGGCCGGUACUAUUACUUUGAACAAAUUAGAGUGAAAUAAGACCUCUGUUCUGCUUUCAUUGGUUUUCAGAUCAAGAGGUAAUGAUUAAUAGAAGCAGUUUGGGGGCAUUAGUAUUACGACGCGAGAGGUGAAAUUCUUGGACCGUCGUAAGACUAACUUAAGCGAAAGCAUUUUAGUUAGUUAGAGGUUCGAAGGCGAUUAGAUACCGCGAAAGCAUUUGCCCAAGAUGUUUUCAUUAAUCAAGAACGAAAGUUAGAGGUUCGAAGGCGAUUAGAUACCGCCCUAGUUCUAACCAUAAACGAUGCCAGCUAGAAAUUGGGUGUAGCUACUAUCAUGGCUCUCUCAGUCGCUCAGUCUCAGGCCUACAACAGAGCCUGUAAGCAGCUCAAACAGAUGCUUCAUGACACAAGAAGCAAGGCGCUCGAGCAGUACCUAGUAGAACUGGAGCCUGGCAAUGCUGAGCACAACAUCUGGAACUCCACCAAAUACCUGAAAAGGCCUGUGCGGAGGGUGCCACAAUUAAAACAGCUGCAGGUGUAUGGUGCCGGUCAAGCCAAGAGAAAGCGAAUGCGUUUGCCGACCAUCUGGAAACCAGUUUCCAGCCAUUCACCCUAUGUGAUGACGAAGACGUUGAAGAGACGAAGCAGUUCGAUGACGCAGCCUGCCCGAUGGCCCUGCCUAUCGCAGAGAUAGGUAGUCAGGAGAUUCUGGAUGAGAUCUCGUGCUUGAAGCUCACCAAAUCUCCUGGCCUUGACAAAAUCGACGCAGCUGCCCUCAAGCUACUCCCAGCGAAUUGCAUAGAGUUCCUGA